UGGAGUUUACUCAAUGAGGCUGUUUGUGUCCCCAGCGAUCUGUUGGUGAGUGGCUGUUCCUCUUUCUCUCCCAAAACCCAUUAAAACAGAGCUUUCCUCCUCCCUAAGAAAAGGUCAAUAACUUUGACCUGAACCCCCAAAAAGGGAAGUAGAUCACUGCCAGUUUUUAAUUCUGUAAGUAGAUCCCAGUCUCUUGAGAGCUGGCCACCCCUGGAGUAGAGCAAGUAGAGGAAAGCAGUGAGAGAGGGAAAUGGUAGUUUUAAACUUUGACAGAGCUUUGAGAAGAGCAAGCAGGGAUAGAGAAUCACUGGUGGUUUAAACUGGUGGUUUAAAACAAUAGUGAAAAUUUCAGUAGAGCAAGUGGAGGUAGGAGACAUUGAGGAAAAAGUGGCAGCUUAAAAUAAGGUUUCAGUAUAGCAAGAAAGGGGCUCAGAAAGGUUAUGUUGUGUUGGCUUUUGGGUGUUAACUUAUGUGUUGUACCCAUCUUUGCUAUUUUCCCUUGUUGAAACUUAAAAGAAAAAAACCACCUUCCCUUCCCAGUCUAUUAAGACCUCUCCCACCACUUUCUGCUCUCAGUGUCCUUCCCUUCUAGCUCUCGUGCUACAAACCCUGCUGUGGUGCAGCCUGCCUUCUCUUAUGCUUCCCUACCCUGCCGUAACUUCACGCAAAUCCAGGCUUCAUAUGAGGAUUACAAAUCAUCUAAUGGAGGCUGCGUGACGACAGCCUUACAUUUUUCUGUAUAUAGGAAGACAGGCAAGAACCAAAAAUAGCUCCAUAAGUCAAAUCAGUUUGAUGAUUAAUUACAAUUGCCACAAACCAGCUAAAGGUUUCAUUGAUUAAUCUAUCAAUAAAAACCAAUGACAUGUCGGUUUCAUUUGGAGCAAAAAUAUUGGAGCUAAUAAAACUUAGCUCAGGUUCGCACUGUUGCAUGGUCCCCAGUUCUCAGCAUGGUGACAAGCUACAAGGGCAGCAGUGGUUUUGUUUUCUUUGGGGACUGAAAUCAUAACGGCAUCCUUGUAAUCUGGACUGCUUAGGCAUAUGCUUGCAGGGCACAAGCACCCCAUCAAAAUAAAGAUCACCCCGAGACCACAAAUUGAGGAGUCCCCAGACUGCACUCCCCCCUCCAUUUUAACCUCAGACUUCACCCCUGCAAGAAAUUUGCCCAGUGACAGUCAUAGCCACAGUAUAUAAGGUAGUAAAGAGCAAAGGGGAAUCUCAUAUAUGACCAUGAAAAUGAGUGCUCUCCCAGUAAAGGUACUAUUCUAAUAUCUCACUCUACAGGAGCUGUGCAGUUCUUUCUUCCCCUACCAUGAACAUGAAAGGAUGUGCAGCUCUCAUUUGCUCAUCACCUGACAACUUUCCUAUCAUAGCAUGCAAAGCAUCCCUCAAGGGAGGAGUUCUUCAGCACUGAAACCCCAACACUUGCAGUAGGUCUACUAUACUGUGGUACCUCGGGUUACAUACACUUCAGGUUACAUACGCUUCAGGUUACAGACUCCGCUAACCCAGAAAUAGUACCUCGGGUUAAGAACUUUGCUUCAGGAUGAGAACAAAAAUCGUGCUCCAGCGGCGCGGCAGCAGCAGGAGGACCCAUUAGGUAAAGUGUUGCUUCAGGUUAAGAACAGUUUCAGGUUAAGAAUGGACCUCCGGAACGAAUUAAGUACUUAACCUGAGGUACCACUGUACUGAAGAAGAGAAUAUUGGUUUGUUAUUUUCAGUUCCAUGUUGCGGAGAACACAAAUGCAUCCAACCUAUACUUUGAUUUUGUAAUCAGGUGCUCAUAAAGAUUUUAGUUUUGAGUGAUGCCAGUUCAGACUUCAGGGGUUACCGAUCCAUAUUUAGCCACUAAGUUACAGUGGGAUGGGGGCACGGAACACAUUUUAAUUAGCAGGUGUUUUUAAAGGUUUUUUUUUAAUUUUAAAAAAUCCUCCUAUAUAUUGGGGGUCUACUUUGCAGGCAAGCAUGCAAGCCCUCUAAGAAUCUCUUCAACCAAGAGUGAUUCUGGCUGAAUCUAUACUAAAGAAUUCUCCCUUCACCCCUGUAUUUCACAACUCCAACCAAAAUCUCCUUACUAGCUCCUUUUUAGGUACAUUAACAAUCAUAAUAUCGUCUGUCACCUCAUUUCUCUGUAUGCUGAAAAUUGCCUUGCUAACAUUUCUCCACACUGCACUUGUUUAUGCCUCCUGUUCAAUUUCUACUUGAUGCUAGCUCUUUUAUUAACAUAGCAUUUUCUAUAUUUUCCAAUAGGUGAAAUAUACUACACGCACUACAUAGAGAUAAUCAUCUCUCUAACUGUGAACUCAAAUGGUGAGUCCCGACAGAAUUGGAUCAAAAAUGAGGCAACCAACAUUUGGUUGAUUCUGUCAAUUCCUGUUCUCUCAGUUCCUUAUUUUUCCACUCUUAAAUUGUUCUCCACAUUUCUACAGCA